rnacentral:rRNA from 1 species
UACAGAGGUCUCAAGCGUUGUUCGGAUUCAUUGGGCGUAAAGGGUGCGUAGGUGGUGAUGCAAGUCUGGUGUGAAAUCCCGGAGCUUAACUCCGGAACUGCGUCUGAAACUGCACGACUAGAGCAUUGGAGAGGGUAGUGGAAUUCACGGUGUAGCAGUGAAAUGCGUAGAUAUCGGGAAGAACACCGGUGGCGAAGGCGGCUCUCUGGGCCUGUCCUGACGCUCAGGCGCGAAAGCUAGGGGAGCGAACAGG